AAUUUAGAUAACUCAAAGCAACAUUUUUCCUGAUUUCUUCAUACCAAAGGUGGUCACACAUGCAGACGUUGGAAAUUUUCUUUCAACUGCUGGAAAAGCAAGGCUGUUGAAGCAGAAAUUGACUUCUGAUACUGUUUCCAUCUGGGAUUCUGAUGACAGGAUUUGAUUAGAAACUGGGCCUGUACCGUCGGGAUCUGGCAUCUACAUGUUCCUUUUUUCAAGGCACUACUUCGUUCUCCCGAUGUCCUGCUCAGCUUAAACAGUGAGUUUUAGCCCCUGAUUAUUUCUCUCCUCAUUCCCAUCCUCUGCUGUUUCUACUCCACAAUAUUUUUGGCAAUUGUUGCUCAAUGAUAUGGCAUCACAGGAAGGAGACAGCAUGCAGGCAUCAGACAGGACUCGGGCGGGUCGUUUCCAACAUCACUACCUUCCUCCGAUUCUAUCCCAGGCUUUGGACUGAUGGACUGUUGGCCCACUGUAAGAUAGUCUCUCUUAAUUUUGACGUUUGUGAAGCUCCUGUUCCUCCUGGAGCAUACAGUGAAUCGAGAGAGGGUCACAGACUAGCAUUUGCUAAUAAGAGGGAGGAAAACAGAAGGGAGGAAGGAGAUGAAGCAAAGAUGAAAACAGGAAGGAGGGACAGGAAAAAAUGAGGAGGGUCAGAAAGGAAAAUAGAACAGAAAAAGCAGACACACACAAAUUUUAAGAAAAGAAUGAAGACGCUGAAUGACCUUUCAGGAAGCGGAUGGAGAAGGAAGUGGCAAAUUCUUAAAACGCAGAGGAGAAAUCUCUGCAGUUCGUGAACAAGCAUGGCAGAAGUGAAAUCUGCUGAAUAGUUCUUGAGUUGGGUUACGGUAUUUGCCAAGUAAAUGGGAUGAAUACCAUGAUGGUUAUUUGAAAAUAAUGGUAAAAGUCUGAGGUAAAACACUUGAAAUACAUUUGGCAGGAAAUAACUUCCAUCUCUACUUGUGGGCAUGGACACUGAAAGUCACAUCAUUCACCAUCGUUCAUAUCAUGGUGAGGUGCUUUCGAGAAGAUCACGAGGAGACAGAAAGCAUCUCUUCAUCUCCAGAUUUAAAGUAGAUGGUUUUGCAUGUAACAUCAGAUCACAUGAGAAUUUCGUUGUGAUUUUUUGUCUAACAAGUUAUAUGACAGGUUUGUGCUGUGUGUGAGGAAAGGACAAGUUCUGUUGCCCCUGUUGCUUGUGGGUGGGCAGUGACGGGGCUGGCAGGAAAGAGAAGUCUUUCUUCAUCCGUAUUGUGCGGGUAAGGACCCACAUCCUCUGUGCUCUGGGGGACCUCGAGCUUCAAGAGGCUGAGGGGUCCUGGAGGUUGCAGAGUUCUCUUGAACAAUCCAGUCUCUUCUCUGCCUCUGACAUAAUUCCCGGAAUUUGAGUUAGACCUAGAAGGAGUUAUUAGCAAUUCUAAAAGUCGACCUUUCAUCUUCAGGAGUGAGAACUGUUAAAGGUGUCUCCUGAGACAGACAGUGGAGAAGCAGAGUCCAUACGAAAACACAGGGCAGGUGAUCGUUAGUGUAAUGUUUGUCUCACAUCUGCAAUGACAAUCAAUGUGUGUUCCACAAAGUUCUAGGCUGACACCAGACCCCCAGUCCUCAUUCCACAGAGCAGGCCUACUUUUAUCUGUUUUAUGCCAAGAUAUUGGGGGGGGGGUGGAUUUUAUUUUAAUAAACGGUCUUGAAAAUUCUUUUUUUAAAUUACUGCUCUGACAUAGGACAUUUACGUUAUUGAAUUACGUUAAUAACCUCUUGCUCUCUGCAAAAGCCAUCGCCGCCCAGCUGAGCAGCUAUUCCUGAAGUUUUGGCCAAAACCCUGUAGCACUGAAAAGCCUCUCCUUGACCAGGGAACCAAAUAUGCUGACACCAAGCAAGGCCACUGUGCUCUUAUCAGGAGAGGGGAAGAGUUCUUAACCCCCCGUGCAAAGUGCCCCAGCCCGAAUACUGCUUACAACAGAGAAUUUAUUAGAAAAACUAGGUAGGCUUUAAUUCAGGUUUUUAAAAAUGUACACUUAUUGGACAGCCUUUGACCAAAGCACAAACAUAAAUCAACAUAAGCUGGGCUGGAGCAUCCUCUGGGUUGGAUUUAUAAUCAGCCCCUUCCCUUGCCACGAGGCGUUACUCUUGGACCAGAUCCAUAUGCCUUGAUUCUCUCUUUGCUUUUGAAGAGUUGUCUUACCAAGGACUUUGAAUCUGCAAACAAAUAGGAGCCUCCCUCAUCUGGACACGCCUAAUUUUUGUCAGAAGGCUGGUGUGAACUCAGCUCAUUUGUAAACACGCUUUGCCCUCUCUUAAUCUGGUCAGCUGCCAUAACAGAAUACCACAGACUGGUUGGCUUGAACAGCAGAAAUUUAUUUUCUCACAGUUCUGUAGGCUGGAAGUCCAGUGUCAGGGGGCCAGCAGGGCCCCUUGAUCCUGAAAUCAGGAUUUCUAGUUUCUAGUGAAAUCUCUCUUCUUGGCUUAAAACAGCCACCAUGCGUCCUGUGUUCCCAUGAGGUCUUUCCUCUGGGCACCCGUGGAGGGAACAGACUCUGGUGUCUCUUCCUCUUCUUAAAAGGACACCAGCCCCAUCAGAUCAGAGCUCCACCCUCAUGACCUCAUUUAACCUUGAAUACCUCCAUAAUAGCCCUAUUUCCUAAUGCAAUAACACUGGGGCUUGGUGCUUUGACCAAGGAAUUUGGAGGGGACACAGUUCAGUCCAUAGCAGUCCCUCUUGCAAAUUUUAACUGGCAAGAAAAAGUUGAAUAUGAAUCCAAACUUUUGGCACCGAAGAAAGUUAUUUUAAGGCAGUUGGAGUACCUGAAGAGUGCUUGGAGCUGGUGUGAGAGCCAAGUAAAGGAGAUCCGCAGAGAAAAUAAUUCAAGAACAUUCAAGUUAUACCUGAAACUCCACCUGAGUUUUUGAAAAAUAGCACAACUGAGCUGUAAGUAAAAAUAAUUAAAUAACUGUGUAAAUAAACUGGGUUUCGCUUCCAACGUGGGUCUUAGAUUGAUCUGCCUCUAUAGUUGAUAACAUCAAGAUACCUUGUAUUGUAAUUGUGUUGAACAACUCCCUGCUGCUUU